rnacentral:rRNA from 1 species
UACGUAGGGUGCAAGCGUUGUCCGGAAUUAUUGGGCGUAAAGAGCUCGUAGGCGGCUCGUUGCGUCGGCUGUGAAAACCCGCAGCUCAACUGUGGGCUUGCAGCUGAUACGGGCGGGCUGGAGUAUGGAAGAGGUGAGUGGAAUUCCGAGUGUAGAGGUGAAAUUCGUAGAUAUUCGGAGGAACACCAGUGGCGAAGGCGGCUCACUGGUCCAUUACUGACGCUGAGGUGCGAAAGCGUGGGGAGCAAACAGGG